AACAAUGAGAAAAGUAACUAAUAUGGGGAUAUUUGUGGGAGGAAAACAAGGGCAACUGACUGAUGUGGGGAAAUGCAGCAUAAAUGAUCUGUAGAAGCGAAAGCAAACUGAGGCUCUCCACAGGACAGGUGAUGACAAACUGAGGCUCUCCACAGGACAGGUGAUGACAAACUGAGGCUCUCCACAGGACAGGUGAUGACAAACUGAGGCUCUCCACAGGACAGGUGAUGACAAACUGAGGCUCUCCACAGGACAGGUGAUGACAAACUGAGGCUCUCCACAGGACAGGCGAUGACAAAAUGGCAGCAUCAGCUUGCUCUAAGAGGACACUGUUGGAUUCUCUGAUGUCGUUUUGUGCAAGUCCCAGUGAAGGGCUGGCACAUUCAACUGGUUUGAGCUGCCUCUGUGUUCCUAGAAACAACGUACAUAACCAUUACUAUUACAGUUUGUAUCUGAACUACCCAUCGGACUCAUGUCUUGAUCCCCAGUUGGUAGUGCUGCUUUGAGAGUCUGUGGAACCUUUAGGAAGCAGGCCAGACUAGCAGAAUUGGGUCACUAGACAGAACACUGAAGAUUAGACCUGACCCCUGGAUCGUGCCUUACUCUCUCUGCUUCCUGGACUGUUGGGGCAGGAAGCAUUCUACUCUACCACCAUGCUUUCCCAACAUAAGCUAAACCUCUGAGACCAUGAGGUAAAAUGAGUUAUCCUCCUUCUAAGUCGUUCCAUUGGGUAUCUUGUGAUCAGGAUGUGAUGGUAACUAAUAUAAUUAGUGUUCUUUAGAGGUGUUAUCUAUAGCAAAUCUAAUGGGGGCACAUGCUAGCACAUGCUCUCUAAAGUCAAAGCAAAUAACCAUGGGCAGUGGAAGGGAGGCAGUCUUCUCAGGAUCAUUUCAUCCACAGGACAGCUGAACUUUUGCUGGUACUUAUCAUCAUUCCUAAUUAACAUGCGUGGUAUUUACCAGCUGCCUUGUGGCUUGAAGCUGAUGCCAUUUUGUAAGCCUUGGGGCCCAUGCCAAUGCUGUUUUCUGGGACGGCACCCUCUGUUGUCUUUAAAUAAAUGUUAUUUCCUUUA
rnacentral:lncRNA from 1 species